rnacentral:rRNA from 1 species
AACGGCCGUACCAUGCUGAAUAUACCCAUUCUCGUUAGAUCACCGAAGUCAAGCAUCAUUGGGCGCGGUCAAUACUUGGGUGGGUGGCCACCUGGGAACACCGCGUGCCGUU